CUUGUACUCCCUCCGUCCGAAAAUACUUGUCAUUAAAAUGGAUAAAAAGGGAUGUAUCUAGAACUAAUAUACAUCUAGAUACAUCCCCUUUUAUUCAUUUUGAUGACAAGUAUUUCCGGACGGAGGGAGUACAUA
rnacentral:pre_miRNA from 1 species